GUGCUCCUGGAGCUGUUCCGCGACUCCGCCUACCAAACGGGCGUCCAAAAGCAACAGCUCCACGAGAGAAGCCGCGUAAAUCGCGCGGAAAGAUGGCGAGGGUGGGACUGUGGGAGAAGGAGCGGGAAAUUUUAAGCUUUCCCCGCUCCAUCAUCAGAUUCACGGGCGCACGGUGUCUUUGCGCCGCGCGUGGACGGAGAGGUGCCCGAGCCGAGCGCAUGCCGCCGCCGAUGUCGCUCCCGAUGUGCAGCACACCGCCGCCGCCGCAGACACACCGAUGUCGCUCACGCGCACGCCGCCACCACUACCCUUCUGCUGGAGCCCGUACGUCCCGUCGCUGGCCGCGCGCGCCAGCGCGUGAGAUGGCCGCCUCCGCCUUCUUCGGUUUCGAUGGACAAGAAGAGAAGCCUCUGUUCGGGAUGGAGAACCAAGAAGAGAAGCCGUGUGUCCGUACUCCGCUCGGUAAAGAAGAGAUAAGCCAGAGAGAAGACGGCAAAAGAAAAAUACAG
rnacentral:misc_RNA from 1 species